rnacentral:rRNA from 1 species
CGGAAUGGAUAAGCGCUGAAAGCAUCUAAGCGCGAAGCCAACUUCAAGAUAAGAUUUCCCACCGCAAGGGUAAGACACCAGAAAGACUAUCUGGUUGAUAGGUCGAAGGUGUAAGUGCAGCAAUGUAUUUAGCUUAUCGAUACUAAUAGGUCGAGGACUUGACCAAUAUUUAUU